rnacentral:piRNA from 1 species
UAUUUGCUGAAGGAAUUGUAUGGAAAAGUA